rnacentral:rRNA from 1 species
UACGAAGGGGGCUAGCGUUGCUCGGAAUCACUGGGCGUAAAGCGCACGUAGGCGGAUCUUUAAGUCAGGGGUGAAAUCCUGGAGCUCAACUCCAGAACUGCCUUUGAUACUGGCGGCCUCGAGGCCGGAAGAGGUUAGUGGAAUUCCCAGUGUAGAGGUGAAAUUCGUAGAUAUUGGGAAGAACACCAGUGGCGAAGGCGGCUAACUGGUCCGGUACUGACGCUGAGGUGCGAAAGCGUGGGGAGCAAACAGG